UACAGAGGUGGCAAGCGUUGUUCGGAAUUACUGGGCGUAAAGGGCGCGUAGGCGGCCCGUCAAGUCCCGUGUGAAAGCCCCCGGCUCAACCGGGGAACGGCGCGGGAAACUAGCAGGCUUGAGUUCGGGAGAGGGAAGCGGAAUUCCGGGUGUAGCGGUGAAAUGCGCAGAUAUCCGGAGGAACACCGGUGGCGAAGGCGGCUUCCUGGACCGACACUGACGCUGAGGCGCGAAAGCUAGGGGGAGCAAACGGG
rnacentral:rRNA from 1 species